CCGUUUCUCAACAAUCACAAUGUCCUCAAGCCAAACUCUGGUGGAGCACAUCGUCCUUGUCAAGGUAAAAGACGGAACUGAACAGAGCAAGGUCGACGACUUGGUUAAUGGCAUGAACUCGUUAGCCGCCAUCGACGGGGUGCUAUACCUCACGGCGGGCCCAGUUCUCCGUAGCAGACCCGCCGCCGCUUUCACCCACUUCCUCCACAGCCGCUACAGCUGCAAGGACCACCUCGACGCCUACAACGUGAACCCCACCCACAUCGCCGUCGUCACGAACUCCCUUUUUCCCAUCUGCGACAACCUCUUGGUCGUCGACUGGUUCGCCGGAAAACCGACCCUUAAGACGCCGGCGACGGGCUCCGGGCUCCGCGUGAGGUUUUUGAAACUGAAGGGGGGAG
rnacentral:lncRNA from 1 species